GCCCAGGUGGUGGAAUUGGUAGACACGCUAGUUUCAGGUACUAGAGAGGGAAACUUCGUAGGGGUUCAAGUCCCCUUCUGGGCA
rnacentral:tRNA from 1 species